AUGCUCUUUAUCUUCCAGUCUCUUCUUGUCAAUUUGGAAAUCGCAGACAGCCCGGCUCAGGAAAAAGUGGCAACCCAUUCCGAACUUGAAGAUUUCUCAUUGUUUUUACUAAACUUAAAGAACCAGCAGCCGAGAGAGAAGUGCCUCGAAUUGUGUAUGGGCCGUUACCUUUUCGAAGAGAAGACUUAUGCUCUGAGAGAAGAUUUUCUAGCAGCGGAAAUGGAUUCACCUCUGGUGCUGUUUCAAGUUACCGAACUUAUCAAACAGGCUGGUGCACAAGUGCCCUUGACCUUGCCUUCAUAG
rnacentral:lncRNA from 1 species